rnacentral:rRNA from 1 species
CCUACGGGAGGCUGCAGUGGGGAAUAUUGCACAAUGGGCGCAAGCCUGAUGCAGCCAUGCCGCGUGUGUGAAGAAGGCCUUCGGGUUGUAAAGCACUUUCAGCGGGGAGGAAGGCGUUAGGUUAAUAACCUUGGCGAUUGACGUUACCCGCAGAAGAAGCACCGGCUAACUCCGUGCCAGCAGCCGCGGUAAUACGGAGGGUGCAAGCGUUAAUCGGAAUUACUGGGCGUAAAGCGCACGCAGGCGGUCUGUCAAGUCGGAUGUGAAAUCCCCGGGCUCAACCUGGGGACUGCAUUCGAAACUGGCAGGCUAGAGUCUUGUAGAGGGGGGUAGAAUUCCAGGUGUAGCGGUGAAAUGCGUAGAGAUCUGGAGGAAUACCGGUGGCGAAGGCGGCCCCCUGGACAAAGACUGACGCUCAGGUGCGAAAGCGUGGGGAGCAAACAGGAUUAGAUACCCGGGUAGUC